GUGCUAUUAGCUCAGUUGGAUAGAGCGAUUCCUUCCUAAGGAUAGGUCCAAGUUCAAUUCUUGUAUGGCACG
rnacentral:tRNA from 1 species